ensembl:lncRNA
AGAACACAAGCCUGCAUACAUUCUCGGGUAACAUGCAGAUACACACAUACAUAAUAUGCAUACACAGGCAGUAUGUUUUUUAUUCUCCUUUCUUACAGCCUGCCAUAAGGCCAAAAGGUCCCCCACCUCCUGUCCCAUCUACCAAAGCAGCCGCUUCUCACACAGGAGAGCGCUUCGCACCAGAAAGAAAAUCUGCUCCUUUCCCAGUUCCCAAAGGCAAACCUCCACCUCCACCAAAGGCUUUAAAACCUCCUGCUAAUCCCAGAGUGUGAAGCGUCUGAAGUAGGGCUGAUCAAGAAUCCUGAAAUUUUCAGGGACAGUUUGUUCUGCGAUUCCUCCAUUUUUGGCAAAGGCAACUGAGAUAGUCUUCCUGUUUUCUAUUAAAAAAAAGAACAAAUGACUGACAGCUGCUUUGAGAGAAAAAGUUUGUUUUUCAAACAGUGAGGAACUCUUUGGUCGUGACAUCAAGCUGCUGUCCGAAAGGAAACCAAGCAAAAUAGCUACUUGCACUGAGGUGUAGACUGGGAGGGAAUUAUGAAAGCUGCUUACAUACCCUAACUCUUAGGCCACCACCC